UCGAGCAGGAAGAGGAUGACUUUGAUGAUGAGCACGACGGCGAGGAGGAGGAAGAAGAAUCAGAAAAUGAAGAAGAAGAUGGAGAAGAAGUUGGGGAAGAGGAAAAUGGCGAUGGGCAAAAUGAUAAUAAAGAUGCCGAGAUGGAAGAACUCGAGAAAGAAUACAUGAAUCUUCGUCAUCAGGAGCAGGGCUAAAUAUGCAUAGGAGUCGGAGGUUGGUGACGAAAUUUGAUAAUGUAAAUAGUACGCGAGUGUAGCCAUAGGAAUAUACUAGUGCCAUUUUCAUCUUAGCUCAAGGCUAAUUUCCAGUAUCUAUUUAAUUUAGUUACUAUGAAAGCACAAAAUGGAGUUAUAUAGGCUUACAUAUGAAGUUAAUUUUGUUUUUUAAAGAAAGAUCUUCUUAAGGGUCAAGUGGUGAAGAACCAAAAGGCUCUGUGGGACAAAGCUCUUGAGUUCAGAUUCUUGCUUUAGAAAGCAUUCUCAAGUUCACAUGGAAUCAUGGAUUACCACAGGCUUUACUUGAGAAGAACCCGCCCUUUGUUCAAGCAAUGGAUAGUGUGAGCAAACUACAUUUAUCAAACUAUUAUAGUUAUUUUGUAAUACAAUUUGGCUUUCCAUUGUUGUGCAUAAUCCAUCAUUUUCCGCACGAUAAGAAUUGUCGAUAUGUGAAAGAUUUGUAUAU